AAGUCCAUGAGACUCUUAUCUCCAAUUAACCACCAGAAAACUUGAAGUUGCACUGUGGCUCAAGUGGUAGAGCACUAGCCUUGAGCU